AUUGAACGCUGGCGGCAGGCCUAACACAUGCAAGUCGAGCGAGCGGCGGACGGGUGAGUAAUGUCUGGGAAACUGCCUGAUGGAGGGGGAUAACUACUGGAAACGGUAGCUAAUACCGCAUACCAUCAGAUGGGCCCAGAUGGGAGUAGCUAGUAGGUGGGGUAACGGCUCACCUAGGCGACGCACCCUAGCUGGUCUGAGGGGAUGACCAGCCACACGGGAACUGUGCCACGGUCCAAGCUCCUACGGUGGGCAGCAGUGGGGAGUGUUGCACAAUGGGCGCAAGCCUGAUGCAGCCAUGCCGCGUGUGUGAGGAAGGCCUUCGGGUUGUAAAGUACUUUCAGCGGGGAGGCGUUACCCGCAGAAGAAGCACCGGCUAACUCCGUGCCAGCAGCCGCGGUAAUUC
rnacentral:rRNA from 1 species